rnacentral:rRNA from 1 species
UGAGGAAUAUUGGUCAAUGGAUGGAAAUCUGAACCAGCCAAGUAGCGUGCAGGAUGACGGCCCUAUGGGUUGUAAACUGCUUUUAUGUGAGAAUAAAGUUAGGUAUGUAUACUUAUUUGCAUGUAUCACAUGAAUAAGGACCGGCUAAUUCCGUGCCAGCAGCCGCGGUAAUACGGAAGGUCCAGGCGUUAUCCGGAUUUAUUGGGUUUAAAGGGUGCGUAGGCCGUUUGAUAAGCGUGCUGUGAAAUAUAGUGGCUCAACCUCUAUCGUGCAGCGCGAACUGUCGAACUUGAGUGCGUAGUAGGUAGGCGGAAUUCGUGGUGUAGCGGUGAAAUGCUUAGAUAUCACGAAGAACUCCGAUUGCGAAGGCAGCUUACCGUANCGUUACUGACGCUUAAGCACGAAGGUGCGGGUAUCGAACAGGAUUAGAUACCCUGGUAGUCCGCACAGUAAACGAUGGAUGCUCGCUGUUGGCCUUUUUGGUCAGUGGCUUAGCGAAAGCGUUAAGCAUCCCACCUGGGGAGUACGCCGGCAACGGUG